rnacentral:tRNA from 1 species
GAGGUUUUAGUAUUUUUAGUAUUUUUUGUUGUCUGCAAAAAGGUUUUGGCCUUU